UUCAAAUCAAGUAAAGUAAUGUGACAUAAAGUAAUCGUGGCAUAUGCCUCAAAUACAAAUUAACUCUGAAAUAAAGAACUUUUAAAACCACAGAAAGACAGUGCUUCUUGAGUCAUUUGAAAACUUACUUUUUAAGGAAUUGUAAUUACCUGAAGUAACUUGGGUCUAGACUAAAGAGAUAUGGAAAUGUGGACACUGGUGAUAGUUUCUUGAUACCUGCAUUUUAUGGGCUAUUCCUUCUCACCCCAUUUUUGGUAGCAGUUUCCUCAUCUGUAAAAUGGGGACAAUAGCUUUCUGAGGUUGUUUAGUGAAUGAAGUCAAAGAAAGUACAUUUACUAUUUACUAGUCAGUGCAAUGUCUAAUGAUAGUUCUUCCAUAUUGCGGCACAUUUUAAUGGAAAUACCUAUUAUUUUCCAAGCCUCGGGAAUUCAAAAGAUGAAAUGAGACCUAUGUCCCUCAAGUAAUUCACCAGUCUAUUGUAUCCUGUAAGUAGGAUGUGAUUCAUUAGUGCUGUAACAGCUGAACUCACCUACUAGUGAACUAGGAGACACGAAGAAGAGUCCAGACUGACACACUGUCAUAAAAGUAGCACACAUGAUGGUAAGAAAAGAUAUGCAAACCUUUGAUCAAUGUGCUUGGAGGCCAAGGGAGUGAGUGAGUAGGGGAUGGGGAGUGACUCCACUGGAGUGUAGAAGCUUGUGGUUUGGAGGAGAGUGAGAAGAGCCCAGGAAAUGUGUGGCUGUUUUUCAGGCUUGCGAUGGUUGGGCGCCUGAGUUACGCAGUGGAGACGGACCAGAAAUAUGCGGUAGACUGCUGGACAGGCUGGCGGAAUGUGUGCACGUUUAUGCCAGCUGCUCAUUGCAUCCAACUACGCUCACAUUAUGCCAGUACAUUCCAGUCAUGGCCAAUGACAGUGAUGGACAUUUCCUAGUUCGUUGGGGGAAAACCCCAGGUUGUUGAAUAUAAUUUUCUUGUUUUUUUUUUUAACUUACACUAUUUUUUUCUUAAACUUUGGUACCUUCUAUGUGUUCAGUUUGGAAUCUAAUAUGAAAUGUCUGAUUUAUCAUAUCAUUAUGCUAAAUACAUGACUUUUUCUUAACCUGUAAGGAUAACGUGACUCGGAAGCAUUCUGCCUGGGAAGAGUCAAGGAGUGUCUGAAUUUAAGCAGGCAAAAAGUGAAUUCAUCUAUCUUAAUAAAAGGCAAAAGGAGAUUCACCACUAAAACAUGGUGAAAAUCCCUGAUCUAGUUUGGACUCCUGAGUAGAGGAAGGAAGUACCAAAAGGAGCGAAGUGAAUUCCUUCAUGUCAUAGAGACAUAGCCAGCAAACUUGAAAAUUUAAUCCCCUGCCUACACAGAGGUGAGCAUGCUUGGCCCACAGCCUGUCGUUGGUGUAUAAAGUUUUAUUGGAGCACAGCCAGCCUUAGGCCUUACGUAUUGUUGGUGGCUGCUUUCACAUGACAGACUCUGAAUUGAGUUGACAGAGACAGCCUGGCCUGAAAAGCCUAAAACAGUUGCCGUCUAACAGGCUUUUUUCCAGAAAAAGUUCGUUCUUUCCUUAGACUUGAGUC